rnacentral:lncRNA from 1 species
UAACGACCAACCCCUAAAUUUGUGCAGAAGAACGAAUUUACUUCGUGGGGGUCUUUGCCACUUAUUGCUGUUGUAUUAUUCCAGAAGCCUAACUUCAGGUACUUUCUCUUCCUCUGCAAAAAAAUAAAUAGGUAGGAAGAGAGGUGUUUGCUCACUACAUGGAUGCUAAUAAUCGAAAACUUGUGUACUUGUCACUUCUCAGUGAACUAAGCUUACCUUGACUGAUUGUGCAUGCUGUACCAUAAAAUGCCCCAGAGGAUCUUUACCUAAUGUUGCAGCACAAAUGGGACAAACCUGUUCAAGAAAAACA